rnacentral:tRNA from 1 species
AGAGUCUUAAGAUAAAAUAAUCUUUAUAUCUUUUAAAUAUAAAAAGCUUUUGCAGUCUCUC